rnacentral:rRNA from 1 species
UCAAAACGACUCUCGGCAACGGAUAUCUCGGCUCUCGCAUCGAUGAAGAACGUAGCGAAAUGCGAUACUUGGUGUGAAUUGCAGAAUCCCGUGAACCAUCGAGUCUUUGAACGCAAGUUGCGCCCGAAGCCAUCCGGUCGAGGGCACGCCUGCCUGGGCGUCACACACC